rnacentral:rRNA from 1 species
GGUUAAGCGACUAAGCGUACACGGUGGAUGCCCUGGCAGUCAGAGGCGAUGAAGGACGUGCUAAUCUGCGAUAAGCGUCGGUGAGGUGAUAUGAACCGUUAUAACCGGCGAUUUCCGAAUGGGGAAACCCAGUGUGUUUCGACACACUAUCAUUAACUGAAUCCAUAGGUUAAUGAGGCGAACCGGGGGAACUGAAACAUCUAAGUACCCCGAGGAAAAGAAAUCAACCGAGAUUCCCCCAGUAGCGGCGAGCGAACGGGGAGGAGCCCAGAGCCUGAAUCAGUGUGUGUGUUAGUGGAAGCGUCUGGAAAGGCGUGCGAUACAGGGUGACAGCCCCGUACACAAAAAUGCACAUAUUGUGAGCUCGAUGAGUAGGGCGGGACACGUGGUAUCCUGUCUGAAUAUGGGGGGACCAUCCUCCAAGGCUAAAUACUCCUGACUGACCGAUAGUGAACCAGUACCGUGAGGGAAAGGCGAAAAGAACCCCGGCGAGGGGAGUGAAAAAGAACCUGAAACCGUGUACGUACAAGCAGUGGGAGCCUCUUAAUGGGGUGACUGCGUACCUUUUGUAUAAUGGGUCAGCGACUUAUAUUCUGUAGCAAGGUUAACCGAA